UACGGGGGGGGCAAGCGUUGUUCGGAAUUACUGGGCGUAAAGGGCUCGUAGGCGGCCAACUAAGUCGGAUGUGAAAUCCCCAGGCUUAACCUGGGAACUGCAUCCGAUACUGGAUGGCUUGAAUUCGGGAGAGGGAUGCAGAAUUCCAGGUGUAGCGGUGAAAUGCGUAGAUAUCUGGAGGAAUACCGGUGGCGAAGGCGGCAUCCUGGACCGACAUUGACGCUGAGUGAGCGAAAGCUAGGGGAGCAAACGGGG
rnacentral:rRNA from 1 species